rnacentral:lncRNA from 1 species
AGCCUUUCCUUCUUCUUCCCUCCUUCCUCUUAUCUUUCUUUCCUCUUCCUAUUUCCUCUUCCCUCACGUUUUCUUCUUCUUUUUCUUCCUUGCUUUUCUUUCUUUUCCUUUCUCUUUUCCCCACUUCCUAAUAACUCUCUCUUUUUCCUUCUUAUUUCUUUCUAACGCUUCUUAUCCACAACUUUUCUUCUUAUUCUUUCCACCAUACAAUAUAUAAUAUAUAAUAUUAUAUAAUGAUACAUAUAUCCUCAAGUGAUAUUUUU